rnacentral:rRNA from 1 species
GCUUGGGAACUCGCCUUUGCGAGGGGGAUAACAGUUGGAAACGACUGCUAAUACCGCAUAAUGUCUUCGGACCAAACGGGGCUUCGGCUCCGGCGCAAAGAGAGGCCCAAGUGAGAUUAGCUAGUUGGUAAGGUAACGGCUUACCAAGGCGACGAUCUCUAGCUGUUCUGAGAGGAAGAUCAGCCACACUGGGACUGAGACACGGCCCAGACUCCUACGGGAGGCAGCAGUGGGGAAUAUUGGACAAUGGGCGGAAGCCUGAUCCAGCAACGCCGCGUGAGGGGAUGAAGGCCUUCGGGU